rnacentral:rRNA from 1 species
UACGGAGGAUGCGAGCGUUAUCCGGAUUUAUUGGGUUUAAAGGGUGCGUAGGCGGAUUAAUAAGUCAGUGGUGAAAACCUUCAGCUUAACUGGAGAACUGCCAUUGAUACUGUUAGUCUUGAGUACGGUCAAGGUAGGCGGAAUGUGUAAUGUAGCGGUGAAAUGCUUAGAUAUUACACAGAACACCGAUUGCGAAGGCAGCUUACUGGGCCAUUACUGACGCUGAUGCACGAAAGCGUGGGGAGCGAACAGGAUUAGAUACCCUGGUAGUCCACGCCGUAAACGAUGAUCACUCGCUGUUGGCGAUACACAGUCAGCGGCUAAGCAAAAGCAUUAAGUGAUCCACCUGGGGAGUACGGCCGCAAGGCUGAA